UAACACGUAGGGGGCGAGCGUUGUCCGGAUUUAUUGGGCGUAAAGAGCUCGUAGGCGGCUCAGUAAGUCGGGUGUGAAAACUCCAGGCUCAACCUGGAGACGCCACCCGAUACUGCUGUGGCUAGAGUCCGGUAGGGGAGCAUGGAAUUCCUGGUGUAGCGGUGAAAUGCGCAGAUAUCAGGAGGAACACCAGUGGCGAAGGC
rnacentral:rRNA from 1 species